rnacentral:rRNA from 1 species
AUUGAACGCUGGCGGCAUGCUUUACACAUGCAGGUCGAACGGCAGCGCGGGCUUCGGCCUGGCGGCGAGUGGCGAACGGGUGAGUAAUACAUCGGAACGUGCCCAGUAGUGGGGGAUAGCUCGGCGAAAGCCGGAUUAAUACCGCAUACGACCUGAGGGUGAAAGCGGGGGAUCUUCGGACCUCGCGCUAUUGGAGCGGCCGAUGGCAGAUUAGCUAGUUGGUGGGGUAAAGGCCUACCAAGGCGACGAUCUGUAGCUGGUCUGAGAGGACGACCAGCCACACUGGGACUGAGACACGGCCCAGACUCCUACGGGAGGCAGCAGUGGGGAAUUUUGGACAAUGGGCGAAAGCCUGAUCCAGCAAUGCCGCGUGUGCGAUGAAGGCCUUCGGGUUGUAAAGCACUUUUGGCGGGAACGAAAAGGACUGUGCCAAUACCACGGUUCGAUGACGGUACCCGCAGAAUAAGCACCGGCUAACUACGU